CUGUACCUCUGCGGGAAACGGCACUGCUUGGACUGUCGCUGCGCCCCUCCUGCACGCAGGACCCGUUGCCUCAACACGUGUGGCAGACAUGUCAUCCCAAGAAUCAAAUCAAGGUGGCCAAGCUCCUGACGACCUCAGAUUUACCACCUCCCAUCAGCUCAGGUGUGUGCUGCAAGCCCCCACCUGCCCAGGAGAAGACAGAGGGGUCAUUCUGUUUGACGAUGAAGGGAUAUUGAAGUGGAUGAGGAAGACAGCGUGAUAAGCUUCCGGCUGCAGGAAUUCCUCUUGGCAUUGGUGUUCUGAGGCCCCGUCUUCAUUGUGUGAGGUUUUUAAUGCUAUGUGAAGGUAGCCACUGUUAAUGUUAAUUAAA